GCCCGAGUCGGUUACAGUACGAAAAUUUCACGCGCCUUAAAUUUUCAUCCCGAAGGUCGCGUGUGUCCUCCCAUUACACAGACAAGUGGCAUUCGUCACGCAUGAAAGUUUCAAGUUACGGUUCCCUUACGCGAACCGUGCAACGUUUGUCGCGUAGGUUAACCUGGCAAACCCGCUGGGAACAGGGCAGUUAUUUUGCAAUUAGUCCCUCCUGGGGAGGGUUUCAAUGUUUUUCCACCCUCUUUUUUCGAGCACAGUUAGCAAUAAUCGUCGCUAAACGAGGGCAGCAAUUUAAAAUCCCUCGUUGUGCUUCAUUGGAAAGGUUGUGAACAUUGGAAUCUUCGGGGUUGUAAGGUCUCUUACCCUAAAGGGGCUUAACACAUUGGCGACAGGCAGAUACUUUACGUUUCUGAAAUUCUGAAAUUGAACAUCGCAAAUUUGUAUCGUUACUGCGAAGAUAAAAAUUACGAAACAUAUUGUGAAAUAUCGAUGUUGUAUAUAUGUGAGGUAUAAAAUAAAAGGAUAUUAAUAAUUUGUUCAUAAGCAGGAAUUUGAAGCGACGUGAAUUCUUCAAGUGGUGACAGCAUGGCCUGUGUCACGGAGGCCCAUCGAACGUCGACACUUUCUCCGAGCGGUGUCCAGAUGUUGCACAGGUCUGCGCCACCUUCGAAUCCCCGAGUUUAGGGCAAUGGCACCUAUUCGGAACUUGAGAACGAGAACGUAUGAAAUUCUAAAGGCAAUUGUGCAAGAAGCCGCAACUCUAAAAAAUAACGUUGCCUCGUGUGUGCCGAACGGAAGAAAGUUGAAAGGCAGUUGAGCGUCUCUAAGUAAAAAAAAAAAUCGUAGCAUAUCUCAGAUACGUUCCCUGACGAUUCCAGACUCCAUGGAAUCGUUCCUUCGUGGAAGAACAUUUCUGAAUAUUAAGAGAGAGGCGAAGCGGAGGUAGCGGAUCGAAGAAAACCGUCGGUGUAUCUCGGAUGGUGGAUGAAAAAUGGAGGGGGAUCGGCCAUCGUAUUCGUCUUCGGACAGAAACUGGCAGCGUGGAAGUUAUCGCGGUCGAAGCGGAAGAAGAAGAAAACGAAGACGGAAACGGUGGGGGGAGAGGAUAGCGGACUGGACGAGGGCUCUGAUAGCCUUCCUCUUCAGCAACGUUGGUAUAGUGUGUCUGGUGGUUGGCUACACUAUAGCCGGCGCUUUCCUCUUCACCCACAUCGAGGGUAGAUACAGCCUGGACGUAGCUGGGGACGUGAUCAGGCUGAGAAACAUGACGGCUGCCACCCUCUGGGAGCUCACAUCCAAGGAGAACGUGUUCUCCGAGAGGAUCUGGAAGGCGAAAGUCCGAGCAAUUCUCGAGAACUAUCAGAGGAAAAUGGUAACGGCCAUAAAGAACGGCUACGACGGGGCGGAUGAAAACAAGAGAUGGAGCUUCGCCGGGGCGUUUCUCUACUCCCUCACAGUAAUCACCACGAUCGGUUACGGAAACAUUUGUCCGAAGACGAAGUGGGGCAAAGUGGCGACCAUAGUGUACGCCAUAAUAGGCAUGCCACUUUUCCUGCUCUACCUCAGCAACAUCGGUGAUAUUCUCGCGAAGAGCUUCAAAUGGACUUAUGCUCGCUGCUGUCUCUGCAGGUGUCGCAAGAAACCGCGCGAGUUGACAGUGAGAGGCGUCCAGCGCGAUGGCGUCGACAUCAGGAAAAAUCAUUGGCAGAUGGUCAACAUGCACGGAAGGGAGAUCGAGGCGUCCAGCGUGGACAAAGAAAUUUCCUUGGAAAGCAGCGAGGGGCUGGAAGAGAGCGAUGGGGAUGACGAUGACGAUGGGAGCAGCAGCUACGACCCGCAGCAAGUCACGGUGCCUCUGACCAUAUGCGUCGCGAUAAUGGUUGGAUACAUUUGGGGCGGAGCGAUCCUGUUCUCCGAGUGGGAGGAGUGGAACAUGCUGGACGGCUCUUACUUCUGCUUCGUCUCCUUAUCGACCAUAGGUUUCGGAGAUAUAGUCCCCGGCGACAAGAUCUACGCUGCCCAAGGCUUCGAUUUAUCCUUCAUCUUCUGUUCCAUGUACCUGAUGCUCGGUAUGGCGUUGAUCGCGAUGUGCUUCAAUCUGAUGCAGGAGGAGGUGAUAGCAAAGGUGCGCGCGUUCGUGCGUACCGUUAAAUAUAUAUUCCGAUGCGACAGGUGACCGAACUCCGUCUCAGCCGCAUUCUGCACCUCCGACGACGUUCGCCAACGAUAAGCGAGAUAUCGUCCCUGCAACUUGAAAAACUAGUUUCCACCCCUCGUACACAAGCAUCAGCGUUAAAAAGGAACACUUGUCCGUUCCUUUCCACCGCUACGUGCCACCAUGUGCCAAGUUCCACAAAAAUCAACGCGUAACAGUUGGCCGAUGUCCUCGCGAGUCCGCUCGAGUGUCUGUUCCCGAGGACCCUCCUGAAAAAUAAAAUUUCUGCCCCUGCUCGGCGACCUGUCCCUGUUUGUUAUUACGGUAACUUUUUGACCCCUGUACGUGACACGUAGCGGGGAUGGCCACGUAAAAAGAAGGUCGACGCGAAAGAUCGCGCAGAGGUCCGUUGGGUCGCGUGGCCUCGGCCUUCGUCGUCCCGCGCUCCGUGGCGAAAGACGAAGGAGACAGAAGAGCGCGUUCGGCGAUGAGAGCGCGCUGGGAGAGGGUGGGGGAGUUCUGGAAAUAGCAGGAGAGGUUGUCGGAACGGGGCUGCGGCGUUCCUUCAUGCGGCGAUCGGACCGCACGAGGCCGCGCACGCGCGUCGUGUCCCUCGACGACUGAUCCUGCGCCCUGCGCACCUUACGGGGUGCGUCCGUGCCGGCGACGCUCUUCAUGGACGGCAGACAGUUCCCACGGCACUCGACGGACGCCGUUUCUCGUCCAAGCUCGUCUCUGCUCGACUCUCGCGUCGAUACCUCCGCGACCUAACCCUGACCGGACCAGGCGUCCAGAUCCGCGCCACUCGAACGCGUCCGCACGUUCGUCGUGCACUUCUGGCAAGCACGCGUCGUGAUCUCGAAGAUGCUGCGUCGCGACCCAGCGCGAGUCAACGUGGCAAGCCACUAAAGGCCUCUGACGGACCAGGAACUCGGAACAGCCUCUGCCCAUGGCUCUGACGGACCGUGUUCCACCGAUCCACGAUCGCUCGUCCGAAGCAGCGACACCAGGUUCGACACCGCCGCGUCCAGACCUUCGGGCAAUCGCCUCGUCGACCGCGGUUCGCGUUGCCCCGUCGCGGAGGUCGCGUCUGUGAUGAGUAGCGAGUGACGCGGAUCAAUGUAAACGACCCCGCUGUCCAGCAUCCUCGACGCAAAGUAGCCAACAAAGGGCGGAAUCGGAAGGGUGACCGUUGACCGCUGUCGUCCCACUGUCCAGGAACACCCUGUACCGUGGACUGGUAUUUCGCGAGAUCGGAAAGUGUUCCUCGUGCGCGACGUCCUCGUCCGCGGUUUGGAUCGGAUAGAAGCCGGCGUUGAUUCGAGGGGAUCGCGAGUUCGUGGCUCCCCGCGGGCUUCGUCGACUGGAAGAAGACGGGGGAUCCACAUCCAGUCGGAUUCGAUCAGGAAAAGUUUGCCCCGGACUGACAUGCCUCGCGAAACGUCUGUGGGAAGUUGAAGGCUGCUACGAUACGGACGGGAGAGCGAUCGCUGGUAAGGCUUGCCACCGCACCAGAUGGACGAGGCUCGAGGGAGGAUAGUGGAACGAUAGGAGGCGACCGGUUGCGGCUGCAGCUGCGGCGUCGGUCGCUGCACCUGCAGCUGCAGCUGCGGCGACGGCGACGACGGCGACGCUGCCGGUAGCAGCGUUUUGAUAAGACGAC